GCUCAGCCCAAUAAGAAAAUGUCAUUUUGAAUUUUUAGCACUGAAUUGCUUAAUCAAUUACCAGAAACCCAUUUUCUCAAGCUUACCCCAGUUCAUCUUCUUCAUUCUAUUCUGCAUUUCUUUCUUCACCAUUCUCAUACCAGAAACCCAUGUUCUCAAGCUUACCCAAUUUCAUCUUCUUCAGUCUUAAUUUUCUGCAUUUCCUUCUUAACAUUCUCAUACCAGAAACCCAUGUUCUCAAGCUUACCCAAUUUCAUCUUCUUCAGUCUUUUCUGCAUUUCCUUCUUCACCAUUCUCAAGCGUCAAUCCCUACAAUUCUAUAUAUACUGAUGGCCAAUAAAAGUGUUUCGGAGGGUGAUCAUCAUCUUCAACGCGACGAAACCGACCAAGAUUCUGAGGAGGGUAUUGAUCUUCCUCCAAGUUUCGGUUCCCAACUUGCUGUGCACUAUACCCAACCGGGAUCAUUCUUGGUUCAGUCCAAGAACGACGCGCUAACAGUGUCACUGAAGAACAAGGGAAAGCUUAUUGAGGAAGACUCCGACUCCGACUUCGACGACUGCGAGUUUUACUUUCCCGUUUCUUUUCGCGGCGGUGUUGUCCCACCACAUAUCAGGCGCCGUGACGAGAUGCUGCAACUUCGAGCCGAGCAUUGCUCCAGGGGGUUGGAUCCACAUGAAGCAGAGUACUUGGCCUUCUUCCUCAAGCAAGAGAGCUCGCGGAAUUUCAAGAGUGCUUGCCGGAAUUCCAUGAUUCUGUGUCAGAGACCCAACUGUCUGCAGAUGAUUCUGUGCCACCGCCUGCAGACCUGGUGAAAGUGCAGAAUAGAACCACAAGGUGGUAGGAGGCCCUUACGUUGUUGAAAUCGCUACUGCCUACUACUUCAUAACUUUGCCCGUGGCCGCUGUCAUCCACCGCAUCGCAAGCUUUGUGGCUGCGCACCCCUGGAGUGUGACGGCAUUUGACUACUUGGCUCCGCCUCAAAUCAAAACUGGCUACAAAGUCCAUGACGUUUUGCUCCCGGAUGAACAAGUAUUUCGAAUUUAUGCGCUCAUUGUCCGCGGAUCAAAUCAAUAUGUUACUCGAUUACUCUGCGGAAAUAGUAGCUGAUGAACUUCAAAGGAUGAUGCAUACCUGUAUGUGAUUCUUCAAAGGUGACAGAAGAUCUGAAAGAGAAACACCUAGCCUGGAGAGGCUGAAGUAAGGGAGGGAGAAGGGGUCACACAAGACUCAAACGCAGCGGCUGCACAAAGUGGGGUUUCGGAAUCUGAAAAGAGGGAUGGCAAUAAGAUUCGAAGGCAGAAGCUCAGGCAGUGGAGUAUUCAGAUUCAAAAGAAAAGCCUCAAGGAGAGGAGGAUUCAGAUGCACAACAAAAGCAGCGGGACUAGAUGAUGAAAGGCAAAGGAGCUAAGAGUUACUUUUGGUAGCUGCUAAUAUUGUUUAGUUGUUUAGCUGGAGUGCAUUACAUUUACAACUGCUCUAGAAAUUUGAUGAAAUAUAAUGAUAUGUCCUAGUUUCUACUUCUUGCUCUAAUUAGCUUAUUGACUGCUCUAAAAGGUACCAACUUCUCUCUCUCUCUCUCUCUCUCUCUCUCUCUCUCUCAAAUAAUGUCUUCGAGUUUCUUUGUAGGAUGUUUGUUUUGGGAUUGAUAUUGAUGAUUCUGAAGUGGGUAUUUUACUUCUCAAAAAAAAAAAAAAAAGUGGGUAUUUUAAAUUCAUAGUUUAUUACAUAUUGCCUUAGCUCAAUUUUGAAAUGGGUCUCUAUGCUUCGCUACCCCACAUUUAGCUGAACAUCCUUUGAAUUCACAACUUUCAUGUCUGUAGUUCAAGAGAAACAUCAUAUUUUAAAGUCAAGGUAAAGAUUAUUUUGGUACAUUAAUUGUUUACCUUUUCAUUCACCACUCGUUGUGUCGGAGAAGGCCAGAAUAGCUUUCUUGAACCGUGGGUAUUAGUAUUUUGAAUGCUCAAGAAAAAAUCACAAGCACUUCGAUUUUGAAGAGGAGGCACUAUUUGCUCUUGAAGAGGAGGCACUAUUUGCUCUUGAAGGGGUCCCCGUUUCAAAUCAUAUGUUCAUACUUUUUUUUUUUUCCAUAAAUUGGAAAGCAAAAAUUAAAAAUCAGUACGCUUCUGUCCCUAUGUUAUUUAUCGCAUAUUUGAUAAUGAUAUUAUGUGCCAUUGUUUGUUGUGAUGCUUGUAUCAUGAUUGGUGCAUAUAAGGUUUCGAUCUUUGCAUAUCAUUAUCAUUCUCUCUGACCUGAUUGUGGUUAAUUUUGCAUGUAUGUAGUGACACAAAUAGUUCAUUGGACUCCUAAGUACCGUUCCUUCCCUCAAUCGAGGUUUCAGUAAAGGCUUUACUUGUUCUAUCAUCAGCAGCUCCAAGUGCAUCAAUGCGAGCUUUAUUCUGCAGACAACAUCCAUUCUUAGUUGGAACUGCAAAAAGAUAUGCAGUUUGGAGGAAAGACAAGCUUGGUGAACCAAUAAUAUCUCAACGACAGCUUGUUUCGUCUAUGUGGAAAGAGUCUAUCAUAUGAAGUGUUUUUGUAUUUCAAAACAACCAUUACUUGUUCCUUACCAACUCAUCCAGAAUUCAUAUUUCUGCAAGAACCAGGUUUGACAUUUUCAAAUACUUCUCACAAAUUUUACAUGGAAGCAAAAUCUAUUGGGAUUGGAAGGGAAACUGUUUGCAGGUCAUACACUUGUUACACUUUUGAGAAUGCAGGUUGUAAAUAAGCAAGGUUUGUGGAGAAAAAUCUGAGCAACGAUGGGUAUAGAAGGAUGCUAUUCACAUAGAUAUGUUAAUACGUCUCUUGAAAUUUGCUGAUUAUUUAUAAUAUUUAUCCUUAUACUGCUUGAAGAUUUUGUGAGUUCAAAUUUGACUUGCAUGCAGUGCAGCCAUGAGGAAAUUGAUGUAGAUAGGAACUUGUUAGGAAUUUUGUAUUUGGUUUCAUUCAAACAGUACUUAAUUUGGUCAAUAAUACACAAUUUUGGUUAGC